GCGGCAACAGCUCAAAUUUGAAAUCUGGCCCCCCGCGGGCCCGAGUUGUACUUUUGGAGAGGACGCUUCUGGCGCGGCGCCGUCCGAGUUCCCUGGAACGGGACGCCGGANAGGGUGAGAGCCCCGUACGGGCGGCCGCCUAGCCUCUGCGAAGCUCCUUCGACGAGUCGAGUAGUUUGGGAAUGCUGCUCAAAAUGGGAGGUAAAUUUCUUCUAAAGCUAAAUACCGGCCAGAGACCGAUAGCGCACAAGUAGAGUGAUCGAAAGAUGAAAAGCACUUUGAAAAGAGGGUCAAACAGUACGUGAAAUUGUUGAAAGGGAAGCGCCUGUGGCCAGACUUGCGCCCCGCGGACCACCCGGCGCCUCGCGCGCCGGGGCACGCCAGCGGGGCGCAGGCCAGCAUCGGCUCUCUCGGGGGGACAAAGGCCGCGGGAACGUAGCGCCCUCGCGGCGUAUUAUAGCCCGCGGCGCCAUGCCCCCGGGGGGGCCGAGGACCGCGCUCCGGCAAGGAUGCUGGCGUAAUGGCCACCGGCGACCCGUCUUGAAACACGGACCAAGGAGUCAAGCAUUGGGGCGAGUGUCUGGGUGGCAAGCCCGCACGCGGAAUGAAAGUGAACGCAGGUGGGAGCUUCGGCGCACCACCGACCGAUCCUGAUGUCCUCGGAUGGAUUUGAGUAGGAGCCCCGCCGCUUGGACCCGAAAGAUGGUGAACUAUGCCUGUAUAGGGUGAAGCCAGAGGAAACUCUGGUGGAGGCCCGCAGC
rnacentral:rRNA from 1 species